GAUAUGGCUCAGGAUGAACGCCAGCUACAGGCUUAACACAUGCAAGUCGAGGGGUAGCAGGGUAGCAAUACCGCUGACGACCGGCGCACGGGUGAGUAACACGUAUCCAACCUUCCCAUAACUCAGGGAUAGCCUUUCGAAAGAAAGAUUAAUACCUGAUAGUACUUUUUCAAGGCAUCUUGAGAAAGUUAAAGAUUUAUUGGUUAUGGAUGGGGAUGCGUUCCAUUAGAUAGUUGGUGAGGUAACGGCUCACCAAGUCUUCGAUGGACAGGGGUUCUGAGAGGAAGGUCCCCCACAUUGGUACUGAGACACGGACCAAACUCCUACGGGAGGCAGCAGUGAGGAAUAUUGGUCAAUGGGCGAGAGCCUGAACCAGCCAAGUAGCGUGAAGGAUGAAGGUCCUAUGGAUUGUAAACUUCUUUUAUAGUAGAAUAAAGUGAUCCACGUGUGGAUUUUUGUAUGUAUACUAUGAAUAAGGAUCGGCUAACUCCGUGCCAGCAGCCGC
rnacentral:rRNA from 1 species